GACGAACGCUGGCGGCGUGCCUAAUACAUGCAAGUCGAACGAGAGCGACCGGUGCUUGCACUGGUCAAUCUAGUGGCGAACGGGUGAGUAACACGUGGGUAACCUGCCCAUCAGAGGGGGAUAACAUCCGGAAACGGAUGCUAAAACCGCAUAGGUCUUCGAACCGCAUGGUUUGAAGAGGAAAAGAGGCGCAAGCUUCUGCUGACGGAUGGACCCGCGGUGCAUUAGCUAGUUGGUGAGGUAACGGCUCACCAAGGCCGUGAUGCAUAGCCGACCUGAGAGGGUGAUCGGCCACAUUGGGACUGAGACACGGCCCAAACUCCUACGGGAGGCAGCAGUAGGGAAUCUUCCGCAAUGGACGCAAGUCUGACGGAGCAACGCCGCGUGAGUGAAGAAGGUUUUCGGAUCGUAAAACCCUGUUGUUAGAGAAGAACAAGUGCUAGAGUAACUGUUAGCGCCUUGACGGUAUCUAACCAGAAAGCCACGGCUAACUACGUG
rnacentral:rRNA from 1 species